rnacentral:lncRNA from 12 species
GGACAAUGGGGGGACAGCGGUCAGCACCCCAGGAACGGCCAGGGACAGUGGUCAGCACCCCGGGAAUGGCCAGGGACAAUGGGGGGACAGUGGUCAGCACCCCGGCAAUGACCAGGGAUAACAGGAAUUCUGCCAGGAGCGGGGGGGGGAAAUUCAAAUAUUCCUGGAAAAUGCAAGCUCAGCAA